GUCCAUGGGCCUACCACUAUGAACACGCCUGAUCUCAUCUGAUCUCAGAAGUUAACCAGGAUCAGACCUGGCUAGUACUCGGAUGAGAAGCCAACAGGGAAUACCACGUGCUGUAAGCU
rnacentral:rRNA from 1 species